AUGAGUAUCAGAUGCCUUGUAUCUUACUGCAUGCAAGAAAUUUGUGCAAGAUCAAGCCAAACAAAAUCCAGCCCGGGUGAUUGCAAUAUAGAGAAUUUAAAAAUUAAAUUUUAUAUUAAAGAAAUAUCAGAUGACAAAGACCUUCUACAAAGUGCCAAGAAAAAGAGCAUUCACAUCAUUUUGGACCUCACUCCCAACUACCAAGGCCAGAACGAAUGGGUCCUCCCUGCUCAGGCUGACAUUGUAGCCACCAAAAUGAAGGAAGCUCUGAGUUCUUGGUUGCAGGAUAGUGUGGAUGGUUUCCGAGUUCUGGGUGUGGGAAACCUGACAAAUGCAACCUUGUACUUGGCUGAGUGGCAGAAUAUCACCAAGAACUUCAUUGACGACAGACUUUCGAAUACAGGGACUGAGUCCUCUGACCUGCAGCAAAUUGUCAACGUACUUGAAUCUACCAGCGACCUGCUGUUAAAAACUAGCUCAUACUUGUCAGAUUCCACUUUCACUGGGAAGCAUACUGAAUCCCUAGUCACUAGGUAUUUGAAUGCCACGGGCAGUCACUGGUGCAGCUGGAGUGUGUUGCAGGCAGGACUCCUGAGAGCCUUUAUACCGGAUCAGCUUCUCCGACUCUACCAGCUGCUGCUGUUCUCUCAGCCAACGACUCCUGUUUUCAGCUACUGGGAUGAGCUUGGCCUUCAGGCAGCUGUCCUUCCUGGACAGCCUGGGAAGGCCCCAUUCGUGCUGUGGAAUGAGUCCAGCAUCUUUCACACCCCAAGACCUGUAAGCCCCAACAUGACAGUGAAGGGCCAGAAUGAAGACCCUGGCUCCCUCCUUGCCCAGUUCCGGAGGCUGAGUGACCUUCCAGGUAAGGAACGCUCUCUGUUGCACCGUAACUUCCACGCACUGUCUUCCUCAUCUGGCCUCUUCUUCUACAUCCGCCACUGGGACCAGAAUGAGCGUUACCUGCUUCUUCUACCUGGUGGUGCUCAACUUCCAGGAUGUGGGCCUGUCAGCCAGGGCAGGGUCCUCCAACCUCCCUGCUGGUAUAAGCCUGCCAGCCAGUGCUAACCUUUUGCUUAGUACGACAGUGCCCCGCAAAGCCGUGAGGAGGGCACCUCCCUGAAGCUGGAAACCCUGAGCCUGAGUCCUCAUGAGGGCUUGCUGCAGCAGUUCCCCUUUGUGGCCUGA